rnacentral:rRNA from 14 species
GAAUGCUGACAUGAGUAACGACAAGAGGGGUGAAAAACCCCUCCGCCGAAAGAUCAAGGUUUCCUGUCCAACGUUAAUCGGGACAGGGUGAGUCGGCCCCUAAGGCGAGGGCGAAAGCCGUAGUCGAUGGGAAACCGGUUAAAAUUCCGGUACCAGAUCUUACUGCGAUGGAGUGACGGAGAAGGCUAGGCUAGCAGGGCGAUGGUUGU